rnacentral:rRNA from 1 species
UACGAAGGGGGCUAGCGUUGUUCGGAAUUACUGGGCGUAAAGCGUGCGCAGGCGGCUUCUCAAGUCAGGGGUGAAAGCCCAGAGCUCAACUCUGGAAUUGCCUUUGAGACUGAGUGGCUUGAGUACGAGAGAGGUGAGUGGAAUUCCCAGUGUAGAGGUGAAAUUCGUAGAUAUUGGGAAGAACACCGGUGGCGAAGGCGGCUCUCUGGACCGAUACUGACGCUGAGGCGCGAAAAGCGUGGGGAGACAAACAGGG